CUUCUUCCUUUUUGUUCAAUCGGCGGUGCACUCCAGCCCGGUUUCUUCUUCCUUUCGUGCAAACGGCGGUACAGGUACCUGUGAAUUUAAUUUAGUUUGAGAAUUUCUCCGUCAUCUGCUUCGAUUUUUAACAAUAAAAAAUAUGUGAUGAUUUCUCGACAGGUAUACUAAAAUUACUGAAGAACUCUGGCAGGUAAUACAAGUCUUUGUUUCAUGACCUGAAUAUUUUGUUUCAAAAUUAUUUAAUAUUUUUUUUUCUCGAACAAAAUUGUAUGAUCUUUCGUCUUAUUGAUGAAUUUGGUGCACCUUAAACGAAAUUAGGGUGGAUUGGGUGAGAUUUGGUUCAACGUGGGAUUGGGUGAGAUUUAGUAUGGUGAUGUAAAAAAAAUCUGAUUACAGUGGAUAAUUAUGUGGAAAUUAAAAGUUUGGAAUAAAUUCAUAAAGUAAUAGAGUAUGAAUUCACAUGUUAAUGCUGGUUAAGAUAUUUCUUUAUAUAUAUUUUUUUAUUUUUUGAAUUUCUUGGAAAAAUUCAUUCAUUUAUUGUUUCAAUUUUUUGUUGUUGUCUGAUGAAGAUUUGGGAUUAUCAUACUGUGAUUUUUGAAAUUUAUUGUUUGAAUAUUAACUCCAUAAAUUAAAUAUUGUGUUUGGAAUUCUCAUACAGGCUAAUUUUUGAAUUCCCUAUCUUGAAGCUAUUUUACUCAAAGACAGAAGGUGUUAUACAGGUUUGAAUAAAAAAUACUAGAAAAAUUCUAUUCCUUAACUCUGUAUUGCAGUUUGUCUCCAUAUAUAUAUAUAUAUAUAUAUAUAUAUAUAUAUAUAUAUAUAUAUAUAUAUAUUUUUAUUGUCUAUUAUAAUAGUUGCCUUUCCAGUCGAAACUAUUAGCAUGGAUAGAAAAUGGAUGGAUUCCCCAAGGUCAAGCACAGAGUAUCAAACAGGAUUGCAUAGUUUUCUUAACUUUGCCUUCUCAAAUUCAAACGAUGGGCUAAUCUUGUGCCCCUGUAAGAAAUGUAGAAACGGUAUUUGCAAAACACGGAAAGUAGUAGUAGAACAUCUUCUUUGGCAUGGUUUUUUAAGUGGGUACACAAAAUGGAUUCUUCAUGGAGAGUUGUUUACUGAUGAAGAAGAACUUGUAUUGCAAGAUGAUGAUGUGACAGUUAAUGAUUAUAAUGUUCAAGGAAUGUUACGUGAUAGAUUUGGAAUGCAAGAUGAAUUUGAAACAACGCCGCCAAUAGAAGAGGUGGAGAGACCGUGCAAAGAAGCUGAGAAAUUUUAUAAACUUAUGGCAGAUGCAGAAAAAGAGCUUUAUCCUGGAUGUCAAAGGUUUUCUAGACUUUCUUUCAUUAUUCGAUUACUCCAAAUUAAGUGUCUUGGAAAUUGGACCGAUAAUUCUUUUACUUUGAUACUUAAUUUGUUGAGAGAAUCAUUUCCAGAAGGUGUCCAAUUACCCAAAAAUUACUACGAGACCAAAAAAAUACUAAAGGAUUUGGGUUUGAAUUAUACGAAGAUUGAUGCAUGUAGAAAUGAUUGCAUGCUAUAUUGGGGUGUCAAUGAGAGUAAGAUCAGAUGCGAGACUUGUGAUGAGCCACGGUGGAUAAUACCAGAACUUAGUCAAGCUGAUCAAGGUGUUUCUUCAAAAAAAUCAAAGAAAGAAAAGAAAGUCUCGGCAAAAGUAAUGUGGCACUUCCCACUGAAACCAAGGUUGCAGCGAUUUAAAUUAUUUCUAUUUUUUAUGAUAUUAUGUAGGCAACACGAGGCCCAUGUGAGGCGGAAAAAACAUCGCUCUAGUGAAUAUGAAAUAAAACGCAUUCACAGUGAUUCAUUUGCGUCUUGGUUUCAUAGUCAUGUAUAAUCGUAUUUAUUAAAAAAUUCCAUCGAAAUCUAUUUUAAUUUAGUUACUUUAGUAAUACUUUAUUUGUUUUUGCAGGUCCUGGGAAUAAAUUUAAAUGAAGAUGAUCCAAAGCAAAGUGAUAUAUUACGAAUUGCAAGAGAACCUGUUCCUGUUGGAACAAGUUUUAAUGGUUACAAAGUGAAUGGUUUUCGAUUUCACACUAGAGCAAUAGAAAAGAAAAGGAAAACUCAAAAUAGUGGAGUGAUGGUUAGUGCAACAACGACGAGCUUUGCUAGCAAAAAAGAUAGAAGGCCGAUUAUGCAAGAGAUGUCAUAUUAUGGAAUCAUAAAAGAUAUCAUCCAGUUAGACUAUACCGGUGGCAAAAAUGUUAUAUUAUUUGAUUGUGAUUGGGUGUCCAAGGGUAAGAGACUAAAAGAGGAUGAUGAUGGAUUCACUUUGACUAAUUUUGCAAAUAUAAGGCGUCAAAAUGAGCCUUUUGUUCUUGCAUCUCAAGUUGAGCAAGUAUUUUACGUAGAUGAUCCGAGCGAAAAAGAUUGGCAUGUGGUUGUAAAAACUAAGGCUAGAGACAAGUAUGAUGAUGGGAAAGACUUAUGGGCUGACGAUGUUGACACUAUUUUACAAAGUAAAACUUGCAACGAUCGUCCUAUUAUUGAGGAUGAAGCUGUUGUUUGGGUGCGAGACGGAGUCCCUGAAAUUCCAGUGGAUCACUUAGAAGAGAAUCAUGUAGAAGAUACAUAGGACGUGCUCAGCUGCAUUUAGUAUUUACUAUUUUGUAUUAGAGUUAUUUUUUUCUUAUAAUGAUAAUGAAUUAGAAUUUCUUUUCAUGGACAAUAACAGUAAUGAAUCAUUAAUACUAUUAUUCAUCUUUAGAUAGUAUUUAUGUGGCAAUUUUAUUAAUUUAUUGAUUAUAAUUACUAGUUUUAAUAACUUUUCACUGUUAAGAUUGAAUUUACAGUUUGUAAUAUUUCAAGUAUGGCAAGAACGAAGAAUGGCAUGCUGGUAUCAGCUGGAACUCUAGAUCAGCAGAAUGGAGAUACCUCAAGUAAGUUUUAAUUAUAAAACUGCAUUAUUUCUUUAUUUAUUAUUCAUGACAUAAAUUUUGUAGGAAUGGAAAGCAUAAGACUUGGUAAACGUGUCAGG
rnacentral:lncRNA from 1 species